GACGAACGCUGGCGGCGUGCUUAACACAUGCCAGUCGAACGGAAAGGCCUCUUUCGGGGGGUACUCGAGUGGCGAACGGGUGAGUAACACGUGAGUAACCUGCCCUUGACUUUGGGAUAACUUCAGGAAACUGGGGCUAAUACCGGAUAGGAGCUCCUGCUGCAUGGUGGGGGUUGGAAAGUUUCGGCGGUUGGGGAUGGACUCGCGGCUUAUCAGCUUGUUGGUGGGGUAGUGGCUUACCAAGGCUUUGACGGGUAGCCGGCCUGAGAGGGUGACCGGCCACAUUGGGACUGAGAUACGGCCCAGACUCCUACGGGAGGCAGCAGUGGGGAAUAUUGCACAAUGGGUGGAAGCCUGAUGCAGCAACGCCGGGGGCGGGAUGACGGCCUUCGGGUUGUAAACCGCUUUCGCUCAUGACGAAGCUUUGUGUGACGGUAGUGGGUAAAGAAGCACCGGCUAACUACGUG
rnacentral:rRNA from 1 species